rnacentral:rRNA from 1 species
UCAGGCCUAACACAUGCAAGUCGUACGAGGUGUAAAUAAUUCACUUGUGAAUUGUUUAUUACUACAGUGGCGCACGGGUGAGUAACACGUAAGAACCUGCCUUUUGGAGGGGGAUAACAUAGGGAAACCUUUGCUAAUACCCCAUAAAGCUGAGGAGCUAAAUCGCAUUUGCGGCCAAGAGAGGGGCUUGCGCCUGAUUAGCUAGUUGGGGAGGUAAUGGCUUCCCAAGGCCACGAUCAGUAGUUGGUCUGAGAGGAUGAUCAGCCACACUGGGACUGAGACACGGCCCAGACUCCUACGGGAGGCAGCAGUGAGGAAUUUUCCGCAAGGGGCGAAAGCCUGACGGAGCAAUACCGCG